AAUGAUACCCGGGUAGUCCACGCCGUAAACGAUGAGUGCUAAGUGUUGGGGGGUUUCCGCCCCUCAGUGCUGCAGCUAACGCAUUAAGCACUCCGCCUGGGGAGUACGGUCGCAAGACUGAAACUCAAAGGAAUUGACGGGGGCCCGCACAAGCGGUGGAGCAUGUGGUUUAAUUCGAAGCAACGCGAAGAACCUUACCAGGUCUUGACAUCCCGGUGACCACUAUGGAGACAUAGUUUCCCCUUCGGGGGCAACGGUGACAGGUGGUGCAUGGUUGUCGUCAGCUCGUGUCGUGAGAUGUUGGGUUAAGUCCCGCAACGAGCGCAACCCUUAUUCUUAGUUGCCAUCAUUCAGUUGGGCACUCUAAGGAGACUGCCGGUGAUAAACCGGAGGAAGGUGGGGAUGACGUCAAAUCAUCAUGCCCCUUAUGACCUGGGCUACACACGUGCUACAAUGGACGGUACAAACGGUUGCCAACCCGCGAGGGGGAGCUAAUCCGAUAAAACCGUUCUCAGUUCGGAUUGUAGGCUGCAACUCGCCUAC
rnacentral:rRNA from 1 species